UACGGAGGGUGCAAGCGUUGUUCGGAUUGACUGGGCGUAAAGGGCGCGUAGGCGGUCGGCCAAGUCUGAUGUGAAAGCCCGAGGCUCAGCCUCGGAAGUGCGUCGGAAACUAGUCGGCUGGAGCGCGAUAGAGGAGGGUGGAAUUCCUGGUGUAGCGGUGAAAUGCGUAGAUAUCGGGAGGAACACCGGUGGCGAAGGCGGUUCUCUGGGCCUGUACUGACGCUGAGGAGCGAAAGCGUGGGGAGCGAACAGG
rnacentral:rRNA from 1 species